AGUCGAACGGAAAGGCCCUUCGGGGUACUCGAGUGGCGAACGGGUGAGUAACACGUGGGUGAUCUGCCCUGCACUUUGGGAUAAGCCUGGGAAACUGGGUCUAAUACCGAAUAGGACCGCAUGCUUCAUGGUGUGUGGUGGAAAGCUUUUGCGGUGUGGGAUGGGCCCGCGGCCUAUCAGCUUGUUGGUGAGGUAAUGGCUUACCAAGGCGACGACGGGUAGCCGGCCUGAGAGGGUGACCGGCCACACUGGGACUGAGAUACGGCCCAGACUCCUACGGGAGGCAGCAGUGGGGAAUAUUGCACAAUGGGCGCAAGCCUGAUGCAGCGACGCCGCGUGAGGGAUGACGGCCUUCGGGUUGUAAACCUCUUUCGCCAGGGACGAAGCGCAAGUGACGGUACCUGGAGAAGAAGGACCGGCCAACUACGUGCCAGCAGCCGCGGUAAUACGUAGGGUCCGAGCGUUGUCCGGAAUUACUGGGCGUAAAGAGCUCGUAGGUGGUUUGUCGCGUUGUUCGUGAAAACUCACAGCUUAACUGUGGGCGUGCGGGCGAUACGGGCAGACUUGAGUACUGCAGGGGAGACUGGAAUUCCUGGUGUAGCGGUGGAAUGCGCAGAUAUCAGGAGGAACACCGGUGGCGAAGGCGGGUCUCUGGGCAGUAACUGACGCUGAGGAGCGAAAGCGUGGGGAGCGAACAGGAUUAGAUACCCUGGUAGUCCACGCCGUAAACGGUGGGUACUAGGUGUGGGUUUCCUUCCUUGGGAUCCGUGCCGUAGCUAACGCAUUAAGUACCCCGCCUGGGGAGUACGGCCGCAAGGCUAAAACUCAAAGAAAUUGACGGGGGCCCGCACAAGCGGCGGAGCAUGUGGAUUAAUUCGAUGCAACGCGAAGAACCUUACCUGGGUUUGACAUGCACAGGACGCCGGCAGAGAUGUCGGUUCCCUUGUGGCCUGUGUGCAGGUGGUGCAUGGCUGUCGUCAGCUCGUGUCGUGAGAUGUUGGGUUAAGUCCCGCAACGAGCGCAACCCUUGUCUCAUGUUGCCAGCACGUUAUGGUGGGGACUCGUGAGAGACUGCCGGGGUCAACUCGGAGGAAGGUGGGGAUGACGUCAAGUCAUCAUGCCCCUUAUGUCCAGGGCUUCACACAUGCUACAAUGGCCGGUACAAAGGGCUGCGAUGCCGUGAGGUGGAGCGAAUCCUUUCAAAGCCGGUCUCAGUUCGGAUCGGGGUCUGCAACUCGACCCCGUGAAGUCGGAGUCGCUAGUAAUCGCAGAUCAGCAACGCUGCGGUGAAUACGUUCCCGGGCCUUGUACACACCGCCCGUCACGUCAUGAAAGUCGGUAACACCCGAAGCCGGUGGCCUAACCC
rnacentral:rRNA from 1 species